UCUCUUUCAGAUCUUCGAGAUGAUAAGCAAUUCUUUGCCGAGCACCCUGGAGCUGUGCCUAUCUCUACUGCUCAGGGUGAAGAACUAAAGAAGCUGAUUGGGGCACCUGCUUAUAUCGAAUGCAGUGCAAAAACUCAACAGAAUGUAAAAGCGGUGUUUGAUGCGGCUAUCAAGGUCGUUCUCC